rnacentral:rRNA from 1 species
UACGUAGGGGGCAAGCGUUGUCCGGAUUUAUUGGGCGUAAAGAGCGUGUAGGCGGUUAGGUAGGUCCGUUGUGAAAACUCGAGGCUCAACCUCGAGACGCCGAUGGAAACCAUCUGACUAGAGUCCGGAAGAGGAGAGUGGAAUUCCUGGUGUAGCGGUGAAAUGUGCAGAUAUCAGGAAGAACACCCGUGGCUAAGGCGGCUCUCUAGUACGGUACUGACGCUGAGACGCGAAAGCGUGGGGAGCGAACAGG